rnacentral:rRNA from 1 species
AGAGUUUGAUCCUGGCUCAGAACGAACGCUGGCGGCAUGCCUAACACAUGCGAGUCGAACGAGACCUUCGGGUCUAGUGGCGCACGGGUGCGUAACGCGUGGGGAUCUGCCCUUUGCUUCGGAAUAACAGUUAGAAAUGACUGCUAAUACCGGAUGAUGACUUCGGUCCAAAGAUUUAUCGGCAAAGGAUGAACCCGCGUAGGAUUAGCUAGUUGGUGGGGUAAAGGCCUACCAAGGCGACGAUCCUUAGCUGGUCUGAGAGGAUGAUCAGCCACACUGGGACUGAGACACGGCCCAGACUCCUACGGGAGGCAGCAGUGGGGAAUAUUGGACAAUGGCGAAAGCCUGAUCCAGCAAUGCCGCGUGAGUGAUGAAGGCCUUAGGGUUGUAAAGCUCUUUACCCGGGAUGAUAAUGACAGUACCGGGAGAAUAAGCUCCGGCUAACUCCGUG